rnacentral:rRNA from 1 species
AUUGAACGCUGGCGGCAGGCCUAACACAUGCAAGUCGAACGAGUGGCGGACGGGUGAGUAAUGUCUGGGAAACUGCCUGAUGGAGGGGGAUAACUACUGGACACGGUAGCUAAUACCGCAUACCAUCGGAUGUGCCCAGCUGGGAUUAGCUAUUAGGUGGGGUAACGGUUCACCUAGGCGACGAUCCCUAGCUGGUCUGAGAGGAUGACCAGCCACACUGGAACUGAGACACGGUCCAGACUCCUACGGUAGGCAGCAGUGGGGAAUAUUGCACAAUGGGCGAAAGCCUGAGGCAGCAAUGCCGCGUGUAGGAAGAAGGCCUUCGGGUUGUAAAGUACUUUCAGCGGGGAGGCGUUACCCGCAGAAGAAGCACCGGCUAACUCCGUGCCAGCAGCCGCGGUAAUAC